GUCGCCAUAAAAGACCUGUGUGAAUCAUCCCCACCACCUGAAGCUAAUAAGAGUGUUUUAGGGUGUUUCCUUCCGAUUUUGUAAUGGCUUUCUCCUUAUGACGACUACGGUUUUUGUUUGUGACCACUGACCAUCCACUGCAAACCACGUGCCUUACAACGCUGCCCUCUUCCGGCAGGACGACGCCAACCGCCGGCUGGGCCACGACAUGCUGGUGACGAACGCGCUGGCGCUCAAGAGCCAGUUCGCGUUCUUCACGCCUCUGUCCAUCAUGGGCAGCCAUGAGGACGAUGACCGCAUCUCGCUCAUGCAGAUGCCGGCUCCAAAACGCGAGACUCACUAAGGAGUUACGCACGCGACACGCGCCGUUGUCAUAUUUACAACUCAGAUGACAGAUCACACUCAUCAUUGAAGAUCACUGGAUGCACUGGAUGUGUUUGUAGGAUACCAUUUGAUGGAUCAUGAGAUGCCAUGACUCAUUCCAUGUGUCGUUUGUUUGUGCAUGACAAACAUCCGUUUGCUGCACGCAUGCUUAGCCACGCGCUCGUCAAAGAGGUUUUGCUACCCUCGGAUGUAUUUGCUUAUGCACAUGUCUUUCCCGCUUAGUGUUCGGGAUGAUGCGCGCAGCAAUAAACGCUUCUUCGUUAUGCUA